GAAGUCUUAAUCUGUUUGACCUUUUUGGCAGGCAGCUGUGUUUUCUCGGCCAGGACUGAUAGGAGCCGUGAACCCACUGGCUGUAGGCCAGCUCAUUACUCUAGAGUGAGGACGGAGACAGAACAGCUAUAUACACUGAUGUGACAUUCUGCCAAGACAAAGAUGGAUGGAUGGAGAAAAAAAAACUUAGAUGAGAACUGAGAAAAGAUCCUGUGAGAGAAGGCCAUGGAAUUUGCAAAGAGGGACAAAAUGAAUCAGUGCGAGAAAAAACAAAACUGCACCAUUGCAAUGUAGGUCCUGCGGCU